GGAGACACAUGGUGAGUCCAAGCAGAAGAAAAGGGUUUCUAUCCUGGUGCCGAUUUAAACAAAGUGGCUUGUUUUCAUCACCUUAGCUAGCUAGCUAGCUAAUCUUAUAUUAUCAUUUAUAUAUCUACUAAUAGUUAUAAUAACACCAUGGAUACGAAAGUUCUUUCCUCUGGAAUCAAGUACUUAAACCUCCCGGAAAGUUACAUCAGGCCGGAAUCUGAACGUCCUCGGUUAUCAGAAGUUUUAGCAUGCGAGGACGUUCCGGUUAUCGACUUGGGUUGUGAGGAUAGAGCCCAAAUUGUGCAGCAAAUCGGUGAUGCCUGUGCUAACUUCGGGUUUUUCCAGGCGAUAAAUCAUGGAGUAUCGCUGGAGGGUGUGGAGAAAAUGAUAGGAGUGGCCAGUGAUUUCUUCGGGUUGCCUGUGGAGGAGAAGCUGAAGGUUUAUUCUGAUGACCCAUCAAAGACAAUGAGACUUUCUACAAGUUUUAAUGUGCAUAAGGAGAAGGUUCAUAACUGGAGGGAUUAUCUCAGGCUCCAUUGCUAUCCUCUUGACCAGUAUGUGCCUGAGUGGCCUUCAAAUCCUCCUCCAUUCAAGGAGGCUGUGAGUAAUUACUGUGCAGAAGUUCGAGAACUUGGGUUUCGCUUACAAGAAUUGAUUUCAGAGAGCUUAGGGCUUGAAAAAAAUUACAUAAAGAAGGCAUUGGGUGAACAAGGACAACACAUGGCCGUGAACUAUUACCCACCAUGUCCAGAGCCAGAAUUGACCUAUGGAUUACCAGGACAUACGGACCCUAAUGCCCUUACAAUUUUGCUUCAAGACUCUCAAGUUGCUGGCCUUCAAGUUCUAAGAAAUGGAAAAUGGCUUGCUGUUGAUCCUCAUCCAAAUGCUUUUGUCAUUAACAUUGGCGAUCAAUUACAGGCCCUGAGUAAUGGGAGGUAUAAAAGUGUAUGGCAUAGAGCCGUUGUUAAUGCUGAAAAAGCUAGAAUGUCAGUUGCUUCCUUCCUGUGCCCGAAUGAUGAUGCUUUAAUUAGCCCUGCAACACAAGAUGAAGUUGGACCGAUUUAUAGGGAUUUCACUUAUGGUGAAUAUUAUAAGAAGUUUUGGAGCAGGAACUUGGAUCAAGAACAUUGUUUGGAACUUUUCAAGAAUUAAUAAUAACCUACCUUAUCCUUGUUAUCUACUUCUGCAAAUUCCCUAUUAAUAAGAACAGUGAACAUAGGAUGGAAGGGGUAUUGAAGUCAUCUUAAAGGUUUCGAGUUUGAGUGAAAUCAUGCACUUAUAAAGGAUUUGUCCAUUUCUUAAUAUAUUGUUAUCAGCAUUAGCUUAAUUGUUGAACAUUUGAAUUAUCUUUUGUGAUUGUUAGACUAUUGGCUCUACCUAAUAGAUUCAUGAGACUAUAUAUUUA
rnacentral:misc_RNA from 1 species